UACGGAGGGUGCGAGCGUUGUCCGGAAUCAUUGGGCGUAAAGGGCGCGUAGGUGGCUUCUUAAGCGUGCGGUGAAAGCCUGGGGCUCAACCCCGGGUCGGCCGUGCGAACUGGGGGGGCUGGAGCACUGUAGAGGCAGGCGGAAUUCCGGGUGUAGCGGUGGAAUGCGUAGAGAUCCGGAAGAACACCGGUGGCGAAGGCGGCCUGCUGGGCAGUUGCUGACACUGAGGCGCGACAGCGUGGGGGAGCAAACAGGG
rnacentral:rRNA from 1 species